rnacentral:rRNA from 1 species
AUUGAACGCUGGCGGCAGGCCUAACACAUGCAAGUCGAGCGGAGCGGCGGACGGGUGAGUAAUGCCUAGGAAUCUGCCUGGUCGUGGGGGAUCCCGUCCGGAAACGGGCGCUAAUACCGCAUACUAUCAGAUGAGUCUAGGUCGGCUUAGCUAGUUGGUGGGGUAAAGGCCUACCAAGGCGACGAUCCGUAACUGGUCCGAGAGGAUGAUCAGUCACACUGGAACUGAGACACGGUCCAGACUCCUACGGGAGGCAGCAGUGGGGAAUAUUGGACAAUGGGCGAAAGCCUGAGCCAGCCAUGCCGCGUGUGUGAAGAAGGUCUUCGGAUUGUAAAGCACUUUCAGUUGGGAGGCGUUACCAAAAGAAUAAGCACCGGCUAACUUCGUGCCAGCAGCCGCGGUAAUUC